CUACGUGCCAGCAGCCGCGGUAAUACGUAGGGGGCAAGCGUUGUCCGGAAUUAUUGGGCGUAAAGCGCGCGCAGGCGGUUCCUUAAGUCUGAUGUGAAAGGCCACAGCUCAACUGUGGAGGGCCAUUGGAAACUGGGGAACUUGAGGACAGAAGAGGAGAGCGGAAUUCCACGUGUAGCGGUGAAAUGCGUAGAUAUGUGGAGGAACACCAGUGGCGAAGGCGGCUCUCUGGUCUGUAACUGACGCUGAGGCGCGAAAGCAUGGGUAGCGAACAGGAUUAGAUACCCUGGUAGUCCAUGCCGUAAACGUUGAGUGCUAGGUGUUAGGGGGUCCAACCCUUAGUGCUGCAGUUAACGCAAUAAGCACUCCGCCUGGGGAGUACGGCCGCAAGGCUGAAACUCAAAGGAAUUGACGGGGGCCUGCACAAGCGGUGGAGCAUGUGGUUUAAUUCGACGCAACGCGAAGAACCUUACCAGGUCUUGACAUCUUCGGACAGCCCAAGAGAUUGGGUCUUCCCUUCGGGGACCGAAUGACAGGUGGUGCAUGGUUGUCGUCAGCUCGUGUCGUGAGAUGUUGGGUUAAGUCCCGUAACGAGCGCAACCCCUGAUCUUAGUUGCCAGCAUUCAGUUGGGCACUCUAGGAUGACUGCCGGUGACAAACCGGAGGAAGGCGGGGAUGACGUCAAAUCAUCAUGCCCCUUAUGACCUGGGCUACACACGUGCUACAAUGGAUGGUACAAAGGGAAGCCAAACCGCGAGGUCGAGCUAAUCCCAUAAAGCCAUUCUCAGUUCGGAUUGUAGGCUGCAACUCGCCUGCAUGAAGCCGGAAUCGCUAGUAAUCGCGGAUCAGAAUGCCGCGGUGAAUACGUUCCCAGGCCUUGUACACACCGCCCGUCACACCACGAGAGUUGGCAACACCCGAAGUCGGUGGGGUAACCUUCACGGAGCCAG
rnacentral:rRNA from 1 species